UUGUCUAUCUAUUGUUUUAUUUGAAAACAGGUGAAUAAAUGGCUACAAUAUACACAACAAUUAAGGACAUCACUCCAACUACAGAAAGUUGGAAGAUUGAAAUGAGAGUGUUAGAAAAAUCUGGAAAGCGGACAAGCAAGAGUUCACCACUCAAAUAUCAAAAGCUUAUGUUAGCAGAUAAAAAGGGUAAUGAUGUUGAAGCAGUAAUAUUUGGCACUGAAAUUGAUGCUAUAGAAAACACUUUGAAAGUGUUCCACACUUACUACAUCAGCAACGCCUAUGUAAAAAAAAAACAGCCCCACCUUUCGAUAAAAAGCAAGACUACAAAUAUUCUUGGACAGUGAACUCAAGAACAGAAAUCGAAGAAAUCCAAACAGAAGACAACCAGGUAUCAGCACCAAACUAUGAUUUCAUUCCGUUUAGCAACCUGUAUACACCUAAAGAAUUCAGCAAACCAAUAGGGCUGUCUCUAUCGUCACGCGACACGAGUACCUUCAAAAUCAAUCCUCAACUCCCAGAGGCAGAAGCACUGAAGGAAUGGUAAUACUCAUAAAAUCAAAUACACAUACUAUUAUAGAUACACAUUUUACAAAAAAAAAUUAAAUUUUUGUAUACUAUAUUUAUAAUAAUACUUACUCUAUUUUAAGGGCGGAGAGUAACGAAACAGAAAUUAAAAACGCAAUAGCAAACUGCUUGACAUAUGAAUCUUCUCCAAAAUCUUUUGUUGGAUUACACGAAAUAGUGACUAACAUCCAAAUUUCAGAGUUGACGAAAAAUCUGCAACUCAAUGAG